AGAUUGAACGCUGGCGGCAGGCCUAACACAUGCAAGUCGAGCGGUAGAGAGGUGCUUGCAUCUCUUGAGAGCGGCGGACGGGUGAGUAAUGCCUAGGAAUCUGCCUAGUGGUGGGGGAUAACGUUCGGAAACGGACGCUAAUACCGCAUACGUCCUACGGGAGAAAGCGGGGGACCUUCGGGCCUCGCGCCAUUAGAUGAGCCUAGGUCGGAUUAGCUAGUUGGUGAGGUAAUGGCUCACCAGGCGACGACUCCGUAACUGGUCUGGAGAGGAUGAUCAGUCACACUGGAACUGAGACACGGUCCAGACCUCCGACGGGAGGCAGCAGGUGGGGAAUAUUGGACAAGUGGGACGAAAGCCUGAUCCAGCCAUGCCGUGUGUGUAGAAG
rnacentral:rRNA from 1 species